UCUCUCUCUCGCUCUCGAUCUCGCAUCCUCUCUCUGUGUUCUCAAUCGAUCAUUCCUUCAAUUAAUCAAUCAAUCAAUCGAUCCAUCGAAUGGUGGAGGAGAGUUUCAAAUACAUGAUUCUGAUCAUUGACAUCUCCAUUUGCCUCGCUACAGGGAACUUUGUGAAUGUGUCAUCAUCAUCCAUCACUUCGUGUUGGACAUCCACAAUUUGCAGAAUCUCAUUAUGACUUAUAAGAGUAUAACUCAAAGCUGCUGGAGUCCACUAAUUACAUUACCAGGUGACAAGCUGUCAAGGGGGCGCGAAAAAGUCGAGCUACAGGUAGGCCUGGACGCCGACUACUUCUGAGUGGAGGGUGACUAUGCAGUCUUCAUCCAGACAUAUUUGAUGCCGCUUCUGACUGGCAUUCAUGGAGAUGAGGAGGCAAGAGCUUCUGUUGUGAGAGAAAGUCCUAGAGUGACCCGGGCGAGUAGGGCUUGUGGCAGAGGGGCUUCUUGGGCGAGGCAGAGGACUGAUUGGCUAGAGCUUCCUACCACGCUGACUUGCUGGCGACACACUGGGGACGCCUACCAGGUUCUGAUUGAGCCUGCGGCGGCUGGUCACGAGCUUGUCGGGGUCCGAGGC